UGUGCUGCACCCAUUAACUAUAUCUAAUAUACUGAAGAGGUCCGAGAAAGUUCACAAUGUGUAGUAUACACUCAGUAAAUGGCAGCUAUUAUUAUCAUUUUCUUCUAUGUGUCUGUUUUCCCUCUCCUUUCGAGAAAUAUUUUGUUUAUUUUCUAUAUGUGCUUGCUUAUGUGUUUAUUGACCUAUUUAUUUAUUCAUUGCUGCUCUAGCUAUAGUUUAGCAUUUUGUCUUUUCGUCUUAUUUCUGGCAGCCUUUGCUUGUUUAGAAUGACAGGCAGAGCCACAGUUAAAACUUCGUCUGCAACUGCAUUCAGACCUCUUGAAACUGGGAGGCAAACCAUAGAAAAAGAAUGGAUAUCCAGACUCCUUCAUCAACUCUUCCUCAACAUGCAGCAAGGCCUUUAAGCAGCAUCUUAGUCUCUAUUGUUGCAGAGUGGUCUGAUGGGUCGUCUUGGCUGGGGAUACUUUUUUGGCAGAUAAUGAUCUAGCAGGGAAACAUGGAAGCAGGAGACAUGAAGGGACAGGGAGGGGAUGGCUGAGAGAAUAGGCAGCUUCAUGGAGUUAGAGAAAGCAGAGUCAGAGAUGGCCAUGGUACCCACUCUUACCCAUUCCCACCCCAAUUCUCCCAGUCAAGUCUGAUGAGAUGUUUUUUCUGACCUCCGCAACCCCUGGACUGGGGUUAAGCCCACAAGGUGUUUCCAGAGCUCAUGCCAUAGAUCUUACCAUACUCCAGGACACAUGGAGACCCUUCCUGGUACUUAUCAUACUGUACGGCAGUUGGCUGAUACUCAUCUUGAUGCCUCUCCUGACUAUCAGCAAUUUGAAGGCAGUAGUGUUGUCUUCACUGCUGAACCCUCUAUGUCAAAGACAGAACCUCAUGUAUGUUAGGCCCUCAAUAAAUGCCCAUGACAUAAAUGAAUGAAGGCAGAGAUGGAGGAAGAAAGCAGAAAAGUUAACAGAACAAAGGCAUUGAGGUAAGGCAUAAGUAGAAAAUGAAUGUGCAGAAGGAGUGGAAAAGCAACUUUGACCUUCAAAUAGUAACUCUCUUUCAAUGGUACCACAUGGACAAAAAGGCCAGACAGAAACUCAGAUCAGGACAGGGCCACAGACAAGAGCCUUGACUGGGAUGCCCUUUCCUAUCUGAGAAAAUGAAAUUGGACUUUUGUCCUCUAAAAUCCACAUCUGUCUCUUCAUCUAGUUGAUGUUCAACCAUUUAGAUAGGACUAUUAUUUAAAUGGCAAUGAGUCAGCUUGAUCACACCUUGUCUAUAGAACUUUCUUCAGCUCCAUGAAGUCAGACUUAAUGUUUGGGGCCAAAGAUCUAGAAAUCUUCUGUUGGUCUAGCCUCCCUCAUUUUCUAGUAUGUAUGUCAAAAUCUUCAAAUAGACUAUCUCAACUGGUAAUAGUAUUUUUCUCUUUUAAGCACCUUUUUGCAACUAGCUCAAAUUUAAAUGGUAAAGAAAAAUCGACAGCAUCCUCUUUACUAUCUAUUAAACCGUACUUCUAUUAAUGAUGAUUCACUGAAGGGCCAUGAAUAGCUACACUGAAAAAUUCUGUAGCAUAUUAAUGUGCUGAGCAUCAUACCACACUUAGCUCCUGAUAUAAUUUUAAGUUCCCUCUGGGGGGAAAAACAGUUUCUCUGGAUUCUUUUUAUAAAAAAAGCACCUUGAUAAAGCUUUCAGAUACUCAAAGACAUGAAUCUUGUUCUGUUCCCUUGUGUAUAUCUGAUUUAAAGGUUAAUAAGUAAUUAGGAAGAACACUCAUCCAAAAAUUACCAAUUAAUAUGCCAUCAUUUUCAUUAAAAAUGCUAUUAAUUAUAUUGUUGUACAAAUGUCUUGGACUGGCUAAUAAAAAGUUACCUAAAGCAGUUCUAAAUCUUUCAGAGAGAAAGAGAAAUGAAUCAAAAUCAAUCACUUUGUAACAUUAUGAUUUGGGUUGGAGAAAUCAAACAAAGGAGAGGAAAUGAGUGUCUCAAUUAUUUAGCGUGGAUAGAAUCUGACAGAGUUCCAUGGUUUAUUUUAUGUACUGAGUCAUUAUUACUAAGAAAACCUAAUAAGAUAUCUUGGCAGAUAUUUAAUGUGGAAGUUUGACAAAUAACAGUUCUUUGGUUCUUAUGAUAUAAAGCAGCUCUUUAUAGAUGAGAUCAUACUUUUAAACUAUCCAGAUAUAUUUUGUUGGUUUCCUAGGAGACUGUAAAUGCAAAGUUAUGACCUAAGUAUGUUAUGUAUUUAAACUUUGUUCUAUACCUUAAAUGCUGGUAUUAGUCACUUAUUCAAAAUUCACAGGAUUUCAAUGUUGAAGAGUUCAUGAUUAAACUUGUACCAUCACUCCAAGAACUCUACUAGAUUUAAAUGUAUGUUAACAGUUUUAUGAGUCCCCAAACUGUUACUGUGCUCUCAUCGUCCUAUCCUGUCAUCUCCUGCAUGGAUCAAACAUCUAUUUCUAUUGUGAUCAUUAUGGCUAAGCUUGCCAGCUGGGUAGGGUUUGAUAAAGAUUACUACGGUGCACGUUGCAGCUCAACACCCUUUUGAUAUGUAACAAACUAUAAUGGGGAUACUUGUCAUGAAUGAAAUGAACCAAGUAUGGUGUUAAGAACUACAUCAACCCAGGCACAAACAAAUGAUUUUCCAACACAUCAUAGAUACAUAAUGGUUGCUAGGCAACCAAAUAUUUCAACGCUGGCACAGGGGAAAACUUCUAUUGCUAAGCUGGGAUUGGCCACUUUAGCAAUUAGUUCUGCUUGGGACUGUCUGUUAGUAUCUUUGGUAUAGAAAAAAAAAAACUUUAAAAGACAGUCUGAAGACUAAUCCCAGGUGUGCACCUAUUUGAGCAGCUCUUGAGAUGGAAACUUUUAUCCCUCAAGCUACAGCAUUGGAGAGCUUCUAAAGAUACAGAACACUGGGAUCCAUACCCAGACCUACUGACCAGAUGCCUCCAUAAGUCCCCGAAGGAAUAUCAUUUGGCAGCCACUGAUAUAGGCUACUAUUUUUUGGUCUGUCCUGUGGAAACAGCUUGCAAUCCUCACAAGAACCUCGUAAUGUGAAUAUGCCAGCGUGUUGCUACAGACCGUGCUUACUUCAGCCAAUUUCUCUGCUGAAUAUCCUCCUUUUACUGAUGAGGAAACCAAGUCAAGAAGUCAUAAAUGACACACCCAAGGCUGGGAAGUGGUUGAGCAGGUAUUUAGACUCAGGUCUAUUUUACUCCUGUGCCUGUGGGCCGUUUUCACAUUCUUUUCAGUUGGACAGUUUUAAAAAUGUGUAAUGUUGCACUCAAAUUAAAUAACCUGAAAUUUUGCAAUUCUGAAAGGGAACUGAUAACUUGAGGCACUAUGUAACUAUGCUUCAACACCUCAAAAAGGCUCCAGCAGGCACUUCUGAAAAUGAUUUUUAAAGCCCUUUUUUACUUGAAUGCUGUUCAACAUUCUCACAACUUGGCUUAUGUUUUUAUGCUGAACAAAUGAUUCAUGACCCUUUAUUCUGGGGGCUGGAUUACUUGAAUCCAAAGUGAUGUGAUGAAUAACAAGGAUCUAGGCGUUGUUGCCCAGUUGAUAGUCACAAAAUACUUGGCCUUAAUAAGUCAGGAAUUAUUUUCCCCAUAUUUCUCGAAUUACAUUAAAGAAUAUAAGGUUUUUAAAAA
rnacentral:lncRNA from 1 species